rnacentral:tRNA from 1 species
GGGCGAGUAGCUCAAUGGUAGAGCAGCGCUUUUGUAAAGCGAAGGUNNGGUAGAGCAGCGGCCUUUUAAGCCGUUGGUUGAGGGUUCGAAUCCCUCCUCGCUCA